UACGUAGGUGGCGAGCGUUGUCCGGAAUUACUGGGUGUAAAGGGAGCGUAGGCGGGAACGCAAGUUGAAUGUGAAAACUAUGGGCUCAACCGAUAGUUGCGUUCAAAACUGCGAAUCUUGAGUGAAGUAGAGGCAGGCGGAAUUCCUAGUGUAGCGGUAAAAUGCGUAGAUAUUAGGAGGAACACCAGUGGCGAAGGCGGCCUGCUGGGCUUUAACUGACGCUGAGGCUCGAAAGUGUGGGGAGCAAACAGG
rnacentral:rRNA from 1 species